rnacentral:lncRNA from 1 species
CUAACUCCCAACACUUCCCACCCAAGUAGUCAGUACUUAUGAAAGGCCCAUUCUAUACCACAUGCUGUGGGGUCCUUACAUUAUUCCAUUUUUGCAGACAAGGAAAGCAAAAUUGUUAGGGAACUUGUUCAAGGUCCCAAAGCCAGUAAGUGGGAGAGCCAGAGGCAGAAACGAAGUUCAGCUCUUUCCCGUACUACACCCAACAGCCAAGCUGAAUGUCAUCACAAUGAGAAUGAAUGACCUCACAUUCAAUGGCUUUUUAAAAAUGGCCUUGUAGUUUCAAAGACAAAUUCAACAUCGUAUACUUUGUGACACUCCCUCCAGGACGACUAACGUCUUCAAUGACUGCACCUCUUAUUUCCAUAAUCAUUAUCUUUUUGUACUAACUGCAUUAUUUUUACUUGAACAAAAAGGUUGUAAUUCCCGCCUCACGGUUCCGAGUCAUGAUACAACUGAUCUCCUGUUUCCCUAGCAUGCAACCUUCCGGAAACCGCUUUGUUUCCCUAUUUGUCGGACACUGACUUCAGGGAGGCCCGGUCGGCCUCUUUGGUGAGCACGGUGUUGAGCUGAUCACUGGUGCGCCCUUAAUAACGCCGGCGGGACUCACCCCAAUCCGAAACCCACCAUCCCGACGUGCUUUUGAGUGGCGUUCUGCCCGUUCUUAACGCGCGAGCUACUGCACGCUAUUCUCACAGCCGGGAUGGGC